rnacentral:rRNA from 1 species
CCAAAGGGCACACGGUGGAUGUCUUGGCAUCGAGAGGCGAUGAAGGACGCUGGAACCUGCGAUAAGCCCAGGGGAGUUGGUAACCGAGCAGUGAUCCUGGGAUUUCCGAAUGGGGCAACCCACCCGCAAGGGUACCUCACUCUGAAUGCAUAGGGGUGAGGAGCGAACGUAGGGAAGUGAAACAUCUCAGUACCUACAGGAAAGGAAAGCAACAGCGACUCCGCAAGUAGCGGCGAGCGAACGCGGAUCAGCCGGUAGAUAAGCGAAGCGUUUGAAUGACGCGCCGAAGAAGGUGAAAGCCCUGUAGCCGGAAACCGGUGAGGCCACGAGUAAAUUCGGGCUCGGGAAACCCGGAUUGAACAUGGGGGGUCCACCCUCCAAGCCUAAGUACUCCUCGAUGACCGAUAGCGAAUCAGUAAGGCGACUGAACGAUAAAAAGCACCGCGAUGAGCGGGGUGAAAAGUAUCUGAAACCGUGUGCUUACAAGCGGUCGGAGCCCUUCGGGGUGACGGCGUGCUUUUUGCAUAAUGAGCCGGCGAGUUAGUCUGUACGGCGAGCCUAAGCCCUAUCAGGGCGGAGGCGGAGCGAAAGCGAGUCCGAAGUGGGCGCCGAGUCGUACGGGCUAGACGCGAAACCUUGUGAUCUACCGUUGGUCAGACUGAAGGGCGGGUAACACCGCCUGGAGGGUCGAACGGGUGACCGUUGAAAAGGUCUCCGAUGAACUGACGGGAGGACUCAAAGUGUAAUCAAACUGGGAGAUAGCUCGUUCUCUCCGAAAUAACUUUAGGGUUAGCCUCAGGGAGCAAGCCAUGGGGGUAGAGCUACUGGAUGAUUGCAGGGGUCUACCCGACUACCUCGAUCAACCAAACUCCGAAUACCGUGGUCCAAGCCCUGGGAGAUAGACGGCGAGUGACAAUAUCCGUCGUCAAAAGGAGAAAAAUCCAGAUCGCCAGCUAAGGUCCCUAAUCUCUGCUAAGUUCGAAAGGAAGUCAGGUUGCAAUGACACCCGGGAUGUUGGCUUAGAAGCAGCCACCAUUUAAAGAGUGCGUAACAGCUCACCGGGCGAGGAACUUGGCGCCGAUAAUGAUCGGGAAUAAGCAGGGAGCCGAAGCUGCGGGAACCGAAAGGUUCGGUAGGAGAGCGUUGCUGGUGCGGCGAAGCGUUCCCGGAAGGGGUCGUGGAGCGCCAGCAAGUGAAUAUGCCGGCUUAAGUAACGAUAAAUAAGGUGAGAAUCCUUAUCGCCAUAAACCCAAGGUUUCCUGGGGAAGGUAAAUCCGCCCAGGGUUAGCCGGGACCUAAGGCAAGGCCGAAAGGCGUAGUCGAUGGACAUCAGGUUAAUAUUCCUGAGCUGUCGUCGGGAACGGAUCUCUGAGCUCCGCGGGACUGUCAGAUGUCCAGGCCCUAGUGGCCGAUGCGGGGGGAUGGGGUUCCUAGAAAAGCCGACGACGAACCCGUACCAAAACUGACACAGGUGGGUGAGGCGAAUAGCCUAAGGCGCUCGAGAGAACGGUCGUGAAGGAACUAGGCAAGUUAACCCCGUAACUUCGGGAUAAGGGGGGCCUACCCGUAAGGGAGGCCGCAGAGAAAAGGGUCUGGGAACUGUUUAUCAAAAACACAGCUCUGUGCCAAGACGGAAGUCGAUGUAUACAGAGUGACGCUUGCCCAAUACCGGAAUGUCAAGGGAGCGGGUCAGCGAAAGCGAAGCUCGUCACCGAAGCACCGGAGAAUGGCGGCCGUAACUAUGACGGUCCUAAGGUAGCGAAGUUCCUUGUCGGGUAAGUUCCGACGCGCAUGAAUAGCGUAAUCACUGGACUCCUGUCUCC